rnacentral:rRNA from 1 species
CGGAGGAAGGUGGGGAUGACGUCAAGUCAUCAUGGCCCUUACGGCCUGGGCUACACACGUGCUACAAUGGUCGGUACAAAGGGUUGCCAAGCCGCGAGGUGGAGCUAAAUCCCAUAAAACCGAUCGUAGUCCGGAUCGCAGUCUGCAACUCGACUGCGUGAAGUCGGAAUCGCUAGUAAUCGUGAAUCAGAAUGUCACGGUGAAUACGUUCCCGGGCCUU